rnacentral:rRNA from 1 species
UCAGCGUCAAUCCAUUAGUAGUAACCUGCCUUCGCAAUUGGUAUUCCAUGUAAUCUCUAAGCAUUUCACCGCUACACUACAUAUUCUAGUUACUUCCUAAUAAUUCAAGUUCAGCAGUAUCAAUGGCCGUUCCACCGUUGAGCGAUGGGCUUUCACCACUGACUUACUAAACCGCCUACGGACCCUUUAAACCCAAUGAUUCCGGAUAACGCUUGGAUCCUCCGUAUUACCGCGGCUGCUGGCACGGAGUUAGCCGAUCCUUAUUCUUACGAUACCGUCAAGACAUUACACGUAAUGUUGUUUCUUCUCGUACAAAAGCAGUUUACAAUCCAUAGGACCGUCAUCCUGCACGCGGCAUGGCUGGUUCAGGCUUGCGCCCAUUGACCAAUAUUCCUCACUGCUGCCUCCCGUAGGAGUCUGGUCCGUGUCUCAGUACCAGUGUGGGGGAUCUCCCUCUCAGGACCCCUACCCAUCGUUGCCUUGGUAAGCCGUUACCUUACCAACUAGCUAAUGGGACGCAUGCUCAUCUUUCACCGUUGUGACUUUAAUUACAUCCCGAUGCCGGGUCGUAAUACUAUGAGGUAUUAAUCCAAAUUUCUCUGGGCUAUCCCUCUGUGAAAGGUAGAUUGCAUACGCGUUACGCACCCGUGCGCCGGUCUCUAGCUCCGAAGAACUAUACCCCUCGACUUGCAUGUGUUAAGCCUGCCGCUAGCGUUCAUC